GCCUAUGAUAAUACUACCCUGAACACGCCCAAUCUCAUCUGAUCUUGGAAGCUAAGCAGGGUCAGACCUGGAAAGUACUUGGAUGGAAGACCACCUGGGAAUACCGGGUGCCAUAGGCU